rnacentral:rRNA from 1 species
AUCCUGGCUCAGAUUGAACGCUGGCGGCAUGCCUUACACAUGCAAGUCGGACGGCAGCGCGGGCUUCGGCCUGGCGGCGAGUGGCGAACGGGUGAGUAAUACAUCGGAACGUAUCCUGGAGUGGGGGAUAGCCCGGCGAAAGCCGGAUUAAUACCGCAUACGCUCUGAGGAGGAAAGCGGGGGACCUUCGGGCCUCGCGCUCAAGGGGCGGCCGAUGGCGGAUUAGGUAGUUGGUGGGGUAAAGGCCUACCAAGCCGACGAUCCGUAGCUGGUCUGAGAGGACGACCAGCCACACUGGGACUGAGACACGGCCCAGACUCCUACGGGAGGCAGCAGUGGGGAAUUUUGGACAAUGGGGGCAACCCUGAUCCAGCAAUGCCGCGUGUGUGAAGAAGGCCUUCGGGUUGUAAA